GACGAACGCUGGCGACGUGCUUAACACAUGCAAGUCGAACGGAAAGGCCCUGCUUUUGUGGGGUGCUCGAGUGGCGAACGGGUGAGUAACACGUGAGUAACCUGCCCUUGACUUUGGGAUAACUUCAGGAAACUGGGGCUAAUACCGGAUAGGAGCUCCUGCUGCAUGGUGGGGGUUGGAAAGUUUCGGCGGUUGGGGAUGGACUCGCGGCUUAUCAGCUUGUUGGUGGGGUAGUGGCUUACCAAGGCUUUGACGGGUAGCCGGCCUGAGAGGGUGACCGGCCACAUUGGGACUGAGAUACCGCCCAGACUCCUACGGGAGGCAGCAGUGGGGAAUAUUGCACAAUGGGCGGAAGCCUGAUGCAGCAACGCCGCGUGCGGGAUGACGGCCUUCGGGUUGUAAACCGCUUUCGCCUGUGACGAAGCGUGAGGGACGGUAAUGGGUAAAGAAGCACCGGCUAACUACGUG
rnacentral:rRNA from 1 species